rnacentral:rRNA from 1 species
CCUACGGGAGACAGCAGUGAGGAAUAUUGGUCAAUGGACGCAAGUCUGAACCAGCCAAGUAGCGUGCAGGAUGACGGCCCUCCGGGUUGUAAACUGCUUUUAGUAGGGAAUAAAAGGGGGCUCGUGAGCCCCGUAUUGUAUGUUCCAUCAGAAAGAGGACCGGCUAAUUCCGUGACAGCCGCCGCGGUAAUACGGAAGGUCCGGGCUUUAUCCGGAUUUAUUGGGUUUAAAGGGAGCGUAGGGCGUUUUUUGAGUCAGCUGUGAAAGUUCGCGGCUCAACCGUGGAAUUGCAGUUGAAACUGGAGGCCUUGAGUGCAGACAGGGAUGCCGGAAUUCAUGGUGUAGCGGUGAAAUGCUUAGAUAUCAUGAAGAACUCCGAUCGCGAAGGCAAGUGUCCGGGGUGCCACUGACGCUGAGGCUCGAAAGUGCGGGUAUCAAACAGGAUUAGAUACCCUUGUAGUC